rnacentral:rRNA from 1 species
UGAGGAAUAUUGGUCAAUGGGCGCAGGCCUGAACCAGCCAAGUAGCGUGAAGGAUGACUGCCCUAUGGGUUGUAAACUUCUUUUAUAUGGGAAUAAAGUUUUCCACGUGUGGAAUUUUGUAUGUACCAUAUGAAUAAGGAUCGGCUAACUCCGUGCCAGCAGCCGCGGUAAUACGGAGGAUCCGAGCGUUAUCCGGAUUUAUUGGGUUUAAAGGGUGCGUAGGCGGACUGCCAAGUCAGCGGUAAAAUUGCGGGGCUCAACCCCGUCGAGCCGUUGAAACUGGUGGUCUUGAGUGGGCGAGAAGUACGCGGAAUGUGUGGUGUAGCGGUGAAAUGCAUAGAUAUCACGCAGAACUCCGAUUGCGAAGGCAGCGUACCGGCGCCCUACUGACGCUGAAGCACGAAAGCGUGGGUAUCGAACAGGAUUAGAUACC